CAGAGCGGUGAGGAGAAGCUGAGGAGAAUACUGAGGAAGAAGAAUUGAGGGAAGACCUGGAAGGGGCACAUGGAGCACAGACAUGUGAAGAUGAAGCCACACUUUUUGCUUGGCCUUGGACAAGUUCCAGGGACUGGUGGACAUGGAAUACUUGAGGCAGAGAUGUGGGUGCAACAAGGCCCAAGGUCAAGCACCCUUGGGUCCCAUUUGAGAUUAUAAUGAGGCCAGCGAGCAGAUUCUGCAGCAGCCAGAGUCAGCAGAAAACAGCCUGCAGCUCCAGGACAACCAGCGAAAAUUGCUGAGAAAAGAAAGAGAAGGUGCUGCCUGCUAAUGUGAAGGUGGCGCCCCCGGACCAGCCAUAACCAGCACAGGACUGCAGGGCCUGGAGGAAGAGUGUUCUAGAAGCUGUUGCUGGAGCUGUGCCUCACACUGGAAGGUCAUACUCCUCUCACCUGUGUCCUGACUCCUCACACUGCACAGCUGCUGUUUUGGAAGGGAAAUGAAAGGAUGCAGGACAUAGAAGAAGAAGAACAUGACUAACAACUUCAGUUCUCAAGAUGAAGUAAGUCAAGGUUUUUAACUUGCCCAUAUCUUAAACUUUCUGAAAUUACAUGCAGCCCUUUUCUCAGAAAAGUAUGUGUGUCUUUCAUGAACUUCUCAAAAAAUUUAUGUGCAUGACACUCCAAAAAAUAAUUGGUUCAGAAUCACUGAGCCAAAGCAUCUCAGAAAAGAUGUUCAGACAACUCCCUCCAAGGAGUAACUUAACCAAGAUGAUUGAGAAACCAGCCCAAGAAGGCCAAUGUCAUUAACAGACCUACAAAUACUCUACAAAAUAAACUGUCACACUGAUGUCCUGAUUGU